rnacentral:misc_RNA from 1 species
AGUGCUAGUUCUAGAGAAACUUGGCCUACUGCUGAUGCUGUAAUGGCCAAGAAGAUGGAGAAUGGAAAAACAGAAAAUGAUUGCCCUGUACAGUCCGUCAUUCACCGUGUUUCUAGUGCUGAUAAGAUAUCUCUUCGUGACAUAGCAAGAGAACGAGUUGAUAUUAUUUCUGAAAAGAUGCAUCAUUUGCCUGAUGAGUUUCUAGAAGAGCUAA